AUAAUUAUAAUUCAAGAAGCUGCAAGCUUGGACACUAAAGCAACCUUGAUGUAUUCAACACAACUGUAGCCUCAGAAACCAGCUGGAACAGAAUACGGGAAAAAGACACUGUGCCUAGAAAGUCCUGUACCAUCUUCUCUCUCAUUGCAUUUGACAAAGUACUGUAUACUAAUAGUGAAACUCAGAAGCUUGUACAAAUGCUUCACCUGAGAUGUGAAACUUGUUCCAGUAAAUAUCAACUUCCACAAUCACAAAAAAAGAAAGCUCUCAGCCAAGAAAACGUAACCCGCCUCCUUGAACGUCUCACAAUGAACUCCGCAGAGAAAGCACCUGACAGCAAGAGGAUUGCCCAAGGCAGACUUCUACAAAUGGGGGUGGUGAACUCUUAUGCAUGGAAAGGAUGGAACUGAUAUAUACCAAUACAUAUAACAUUUGCUAUGUAUGGUCAUUUGGUGCAUUAUGUUAACCCUUUGUCUUGCUAAACAUGUCAUAAUUCAAAAAAA